rnacentral:rRNA from 1 species
CCUACGGGAGGCAGCAGUGAGGAAUAUUGGUCAAUGGCCGGAAGACUGAACCAGCCAAGCCGCGUGAAGGACGAAGGUGCCAUGCAUUGUAAACUUCUUUUGUCAAGGGACAAAAUCCGGCACGUGAGCCUGUCCGAGGGUACUCUAAGAAAAAGCCUUGGCUUACCCCGUGCCAGCAGCCGCGGUAAUACGGAGGAUUCGAGCGUUAUCCGGAUUUAUUGGGGUUAAAGGGAGCGUAGAUGGGAUGUUAAGUCAGGUGUGAAAGUUUGCGGCUCAACCGUAAAAUUGCAAUUGAUACUGGCGGCCUUGAGUGGAGUUGAGGUAGGCGGAAUGCGUGGUGUAGCGGUGAAAUGCAUAGAUAUCACGAAGAACUCCGAUUGCGAAGGCAGCCUACUAGACUGCAACUGACAUUGAUGCUCGAAAGUGUGGGUAUCAAACAGGAUUAGAUACCCCGGUAGUC